rnacentral:rRNA from 1 species
AAUGGGGGAUAACGUAGCGAAAGUUACGCUAAUACCGCAUAUGCCCUGAGGGGGAAAGGUGGGGAUCGCAAGACCUAUCGUUUUCGGAGUGGCCGAUAUCAGAUUAGCUAGUUGGUGGGGUAAAGGCCCACCAAGGCGACGAUCUGUAGCGGGUCUGAGAGGAUGAUCCGCCACACUGGGACUGAGACACGGCCCAGACUCCUACGGGAGGCAGCAGUGGGGGAUUUUGGACAAUGGGCGCAAGCCUGAUCCAGCCAUGCCGCGUGAGUGAAGAAGGCCUUCGGGUUGUAAAGCUCUUUCGGCCGGGAAGAAAUCGCACCAGUUAAUACCUGGUGUGGAUGACGGUACCGGAAUAAGAAGCACCGGCUAACUACGUGCCAGCAGCCGCGGUAAUACGUAGGGUGCGAGCGUUAAUCGGAAUUACUGGGCGUAAAGCGUGCGCAGGCGGUUUUGUAAGACAGGCGUGAAAUCCCCGGGCUCAACCUGGGAACUGCGCUUGUGACUGCAAGGCUAGAGUAUGGCAGAGGGGGGUGGAAUUCCA